AUUGAACGCUGGCGGCAGGCCUAACACAUGCAAGUCGAGCGGAUGAAGGGAGCUUGCUCCUGGAUUCAGCGGCGGACGGGUGAGUAAUGCCUAGGAAUCUGCCUGGUAGUGGGGGAUAACGUCCGGAAACGGGCGCUAAUACCGCAUACGUCCUGAGGGAGAAAGUGGGGGAUCUUCGGACCUCACGCUAUCAGAUGAGCCUAGGUCGGAUUAGCUAGUUGGUGGGGUAAAGGCCUACCAAGGCGACGAUCCGUAACUGGUCUGAGAGGAUGAUCAGUCACACUGGAACUGAGACACGGUACAGACUCCUACGGGAGGCAGCAGUGGGGAAGAUUGGAAGAUGGGCGAAAGACUGAUCCAGCCAUGCCGCGUGUGUGAAGAAGGUCUUCGGAUUGUAAAGCACUUUAAGUUGGGAGGAAGGGCAGUAAGUUAAUACCUUGCUGUUUGGACGUUACCAACAGAAUAAGCACCGGCUAACUUCGU
rnacentral:rRNA from 1 species